rnacentral:tRNA from 1 species
CGGAGUGUGGCGCAGCCUGGUAGCGCACCUGCUUCGGGAGCAGGGGGUCGUGACUUCGAAUCUCGCCACUCCGACCA